rfam:Arabis alpina cultivar Pajares chromosome 1, whole genome shotgun sequence.
CAAGUUCUCAUUAACCAAUUCUGAAUACAAAAAGCUACACUCUCACUCAUUUAUUUACAUGAAAACAUAAACCAACAAAACCCCACACCAAAGUGUUUGAUUCACAAUGAUCAUACCCAAAAUACAAACAGUUAAAAAAGAGAAUUCUUUCAAAAUUUCAAAGUAAAAAAGUGUGCAAACGUAUAUAUAAAGUAAACUAGAGAAGCCUCCUCCUAAAAUUUCUAGUAGUUGAUUGAUAAGUACGCACGAGAAGGCCCACACCAAUCCCAAGACCAACACAAACACCAAGUCCAAU